GCUGUUUCCAUGGAAACGGCGGCCAUCUUUUACCAUUCCAUAGCAAGGUGCACAACUUCAAAUGGGGGUCCUCAUUAUGUUAUAGUUCCAACAACAUUGGUCACUCAAUUCUUAGAAACACGACGGACAAAAUGUGUGGAAGAAAAAUAAAAUAAUAAGAAAAAAAAAGAAACGUAGAAUAACAAUAUGUCACCCCAACUCCGUUGAGGGUGCCAUAACUAGAUUUGUAAUUGCUAGCAAUAACGGAUGGCACCCUCGUCCCCCCAUUGCCAGGCGAGCGGCAGCCAUUUUGAAAAUUCCAAAGUCAAAGAGUGCAUCUACACCUGCAAGUUAUCAUUUUUGCAAAAUUUCAUUAAGUUUGGAGCAUUUUUGAAAUUUUGGACAAUUUUGCUGUUUCCAUGGUUACGGCGGCCAUUUUUGGAAAUUCCAACUUCAAAAUGCAACUCCGCACAUGUCAGUCACUAUUCCUGUAAAGUUUCAUCCAGUUUGCAGCACUUAAUUUUUUUUGGAAAUUUUGAACAUUUGUGCUGCAACCAUGGUUACAGUAGAUAAUUCCAAAAUUCUAAAAGCGUACAUCUCAUUGCCACAUGUCAUGUUAUAUAUCAAUACAGUUUCAUUUACUUUGGUGCACUACUCUCUGAGAAAAUGCAGAUUUUAUGCAUUUUUCCAUAGGGUCAAUGCAAAACUUGGCCCCAGUUUCCAUGACAACGGCGGCCAUUUUGAACUAUCCAAAUAUUGUCUUGACAUCUUGGCAUACUGGAGAACAUUUUCAUAAAGUUUCAUCCAGUUGGAUGUUAUAACGAAAGAGUUAGAAUUUUUGAUAUUUUAGCUGUUUCCAUGGUAACGGCAGCCAUUUUGAAAAUUCCAAAGUCAAACUGGAAAUCAGCACAUGCCAGUUAACAUUCCUGUGGAGUUUCUUCCAGUUUGGACCACUUUGAUUUUUUUCGCAUUUGUGCUGUUUCCAUGGAAACGGCGGCCAUCUUUUACCAUUCCAUAGCAAGGUGCACAACUUCGCAUGGGGUCAACAUUAUACCAUAGUUCCAUCAACAUUGGUCCAUUCUAUUCUGAGAACACGCUCCGGACAAAAAUGUGUGGAAGAAAAAUAAUAAUAAAAAAAAGAAAAAAAGAAACGUAGAAUAACAAUAUGUCACCCCAACUCCGUUGAGGGUGCCAUAAUAAGAAAAAAAAGAAACGUAGAAUAACAAUAUGUCACCCCAAAGGUGCCAUAACUAGAUUUGUAAUUGCUAGCAAUAACGGAUGGCACCCUCGUCCCCCAUUGCCAGGCGAGCGGCAGCCAUUUUGGAAAUUCCAAAGUCAAAGAGUGCAUCUACACUUGGAAAUUAUCAUUUUUGCAAAAUUUCAUUAAGUUUGGAGCAUUUUGAAAUUUUGGACAAUUUUGCUGUUUCCAUGGUUACGGCGGCCAUUUUGGAAAUUCCAACUUCAAAAUGCAACUCCGCACAUGCCAGUCACUAUUCUUGUAAAGUUUCAUCCAGUUUGCAGUACUUAAUUUUUUUUGGAAAUUUUGAACAUUUGUGCUGCAACCAUGGUUACAGUAGAUAAUUCCAAAAUUCUAAAAGCGUACAUCUCAUUGCCACAUGUCAUGUUAUAUAUCAAUACAGUUUCAUUUACUUUGGUGCACUACUCUCUGAGAAAAUGCUGAUUUUAUGCAUUUU
rnacentral:lncRNA from 1 species